rnacentral:lncRNA from 1 species
GUGAUCGUCUAGUCACUGCCCCAUACAAACUUGACUUUUUAAAUGACAAAGACUCUGAAAUUGCUUGCAGAAAGAGGUUGACGAAGGAGCAAGUUGCUCAGUUCCGGGAAGUUGUUUCCAAGGACUACUACUUCCAAAUGUAUUAUGAUGACUUGCCCAUUUGGGGUUUCUUAGGGAAAGUUGAUAAGGAACGCAAGAAUGACCCUAGUGAAUACAAAUAUUACCUGUUUAAGCAUCUUCACUUUACCAUCUUUUACAACAAAGAUCGUGUCAUUGAGAUCACUGCACAAUCUGAUCUUAACAAUGUUGUGGACCUGACUGAAGAUAAGGAAGUUGAUGUGGAGUUUAUGUACUCAGUUAAAUGGAAGGAAACAGAAAUUCCAUUUGAGAAAAGGAUGGAGAAGUAUUCGCAGUCUUCUUCACUGCCUCAUCACUUGGAAAUUCAUUGGUUUUCCAUUAUUAACUCAUGUGUGACAGUUCUCCUCUUGACUGGUUUUCUUGCCACAAUUCUCAUGCGAGUCCUGAAGAAUGAUUUUGUCAAGUAAGAAGAACAUGUCAAUGACUGAGUUAUUAAAACAUGUCUGCUUAUGCUGCUUAAACUGUGUCUUUUUCUUAUUUUCUGAUACCCCAUUUGUAAUAGGUAUGCUCAUGAUGAGGAGUCAGCUGAAGACCAAGAAGAGACUGGGUGGAAGUACAUCCAUGGUGAUGUAUUUAGAUAUCCGAAGUAUAAGUCUUUGCUUGCAGCAGCAGUUGGCUCUGGCACCCAGCUGUUUACCCUGUAAGUUCAACUUCAAAGCUGUGCUUUUGUUGGUUUUGUCUCAAAUCCAUUUUUUUGAAUUAUUCUGUUGCUUAGCAGUCUGCUAACUUUGCUUAUAUAUGUGCAUUGGCAGCACAAUUUUCAUUUUCGUGCUUGCACUUGUUGGUGUCUUUUAUCCUUAUAAUCGUGGAGCUCUAUUUACUGCACUGGUUGUCAUAUAUGCUCUGACAGCUGGGAUUGCAGGCUACACUGCAGCCUCUUUCUUUUGCCAACUGGAAGGAACAAAUUGGGUUAGUGGUUUUUUAAUUCCUAUUUUACUGCCUUGGCAUGUAUCAUUCCCGGGCAUGUCCUUGACACUUGUUAUAGCUGUAUUUAUUUUUUAAGGUUAAUGUCUUCUGAUUCAAUUUCACUACACUACAAUGUUUCUUUAGAAUGUGUGUGUUUUGGGAUAAUGUUUUGUGAAAUUUGGUAUAAGCAUUGCCAAAGGGGGUGAAAAUGACCUAAUGCUUGCAAACUGUUUUCCCCAUUCAUCAUAUCUGAACCAACUGGAUGCUAUAAAAAGCAAGCUUUCCUAGAGAAAGAAAAGAGUGGACUUGAAAGUUGAUGGUGUACUGCUACCUGAAAGCUUGCAUUAAAUUUCAAAUGUGAUUUUUAGAAGUCUUUAAAAAGGAGAUCGACACUUCAGAGUCACUGUUAGAUAUCAGUUUACAUGCACUGAAACUAAGUAAUGCUAGACACAGAUAUGACUGCAAUUCAUUAUUUUAUGUUGGUUGUCUUUGUGAAAACUAGCACCUUCUGUAUUCAUUUGUUUAAUGAUAUUGAUGGUAAUUAGUCAUUGUUGUAAUGAUGUAUUUUUUGUUUGUUUGCAUUGGGAUCGUUGGUCCUUGUAGUCCUAUUCUGUAUUAUUGCAACAUCUCUAGCUCUACUCUAGAAACUACCAUUCAAAUUUCGAGACUUUAUCCUUGACAGAUUUGGAAUUUUGUUGUUGCAGGUCAGGAACUUGUUGCUAACUGGAGCCCUGUUUUGUGGUCCUCUGUUUCUCACCUUUUGCUUUCUUAAUACUGUUGCAAUUGCAUAUAGUGCCACUGCAGCAUUACCAUUUGGAACAAUAGUGGUGAUAUUUCUUAUUUGGGCUCUGGUAACAACACCAUUGCUGGUAUUGGGUGGGAUUGCAGGGAAGAAUAGCAAGGCUGAGUUUCAGGCUCCUGUCCGCACCACUAAAUAUCCCAGAGAGAUUCCUCAGUUGCCUUGGUAUCGGAAAACACUUCCUCAGAUGGCCAUGGCAGGAUUCUUGCCUUUUAGUGCAAUAUAUAUCGAACUUUACUACAUAUUUGCCAGUGUUUGGGGUCACAGGAUCUACACCAUAUACAGCAUCUUGUUCAUUGUCUUCAUCAUUCUCUUGAUUGUCACUGCUUUUAUAACAGUGGCGUUGACAUAUUUCCAACUUGCUGCUGAAGACCAUGAGUGGUGGUGGAGGUAUGUUUUGCUAUUAGAUUGAUAUAAAGUUAACACGUCUGAGGUUUUUUAUUCAUUUCCAAUCAUUAUUAUCUCAAAAAAUAUACACGUUCAGCCACAGAAAAAACAUUCUUUAAUGUUUUUUCUAAAUUUGAGUUAAAUUUUGGAUUUUUUUUUUAUUAUGUUUCUCACUCUUGAGAUCUAAAUUGCUGGAAAUAUUCAAGCCAUAACGUGAAUUUUGGCUUUAUGCCCUCUCCAAGCUUGCUUCCUUUUAUCCUCAGCAUGUGCUUGUAUUUUCUGUAAGAAGUCAUGCUUUAAAACGAUACUUGAUUGCCUGAUACAUGUUUCUAGACGCUCACAUUUAUAUAUUUGGUGUUUCAUAGGUCUUUCCUCUGUGGUGGAUCAACUGGCCUGUUCAUUUAUGGCUAUUGCUUGUAUUACUACUAUGCCAGAUCAGAUAUGUCCGGCUUCAUGCAAACCUCAUUUUUCUUUGGCUACAUGGCCUGUGUUUGUUACGGUUUCUUCCUCAUGCUUGGCAGUAUUGGGUUCCGUGCUUCCUUGUUCUUUGUCCGCCACAUCUACCGUUCAAUCAAGUGCGAGUAGGAAGUCAUAUGGUCUUCCUUAUGUUCAGUGAGUAGGCUGCCAUCCUUUCUUUGAAUACACUUAAUUGAAGGCAACUCUGCGUGUUUGUAUUGAUGAAGGUGGUCUUAUAAUGUGCCUUGUUACAGGAGAAGCCACAGUUGGCUGGGAAAACUUGUUCUGGGAUCGCAGGAGCUUUAUGCUACUCAUGGAGGAUGAUGGCACGUUCCGUGGAGGACUUCUGUAAUAACCCUUUUUUUAUAGGAGAGGAACAUGUAGGGCUUUAGAAUGCUGUUAAAGAAUUUGCAGUGCUUCAAUGUGAGAUAAUCCAUCAUUUUGAAUGUAUUCUAUCACUGUUAGAAGCCGUAGAGUUUGUGUUACUGGUAGCAGUACUUCGAAAAUUCUUGUCUCCACAAUUUAUUAUAGUUGCAAAAUACAUGUUCUGUCAUUUAUUAUCAUAGGCUGGACUAGAAAACUUGAGUAUGAGGAUCGUCUGUUUUGUCUUUUGUUCUAGGGGAAACAUGGCUGUUCAUUUUUCUAAUUUCACUAUUUUUGUUUCAAUUUAAUGAUCCAAAUUAGCUGAGAAGAAAAAUCAAGGUAGCAUCUGGAUGUAAUCAAAAGAGAUGAAUGAAGGUCGUGGAGGCUGAGAGGACAUGUGAGGUAGAUGGAAGCAUAACAGGACAAUAACAAGCCUAGAAUGACAGAAGUUAGGCCGAAUUAGGGUUAAACACAAACUUUAAAAUUUUAUUUUAUUUCUCAAUUAAUAAGUCUGCUAAAGAAGUUUGUAGUGCUUUUUAUAGGUUAGAAAAAUCGAUAUGGACUAGGAAACAAGAGUUGGAAUCCUUAGAUACAAAGAAAAAUAGCAUAAAAUCUUAAAUAAAUAAUAAAAACAAAAAUAUUUAGAAAAAAUAACAAAAUUAGCCUAGCAUUGAUAAGUCACCCAAAUACUUUGUAUAUGAAAACUGCUUGUAAAUCUAAGUUUGAUUGAACGGGUCAAAUUUCUUGUUAUCAUAGUUUUAAAUUAUUAUUCUAAUCUAGUAUAAUCAAGUCUUUAUUUUUAAUCUAAACUUGUUUCAAUACUUGAUAAAAACAUAUAUUAGAUCAGUUACAUGGUAUAUUUGCAUCAAAAUGUUUUCCUGUGUUUUUUUUUAAUUAUAAAAAAUUAUUUUAAAACUAAACAUAAUUAUUUUAUGUUUUAGCAGACUUUUCAACAUAAAUUUCUCAAGAUAGUCAAUUUUCUUCGAUUAUUGCAGUUCUCUUUUGCCUAUUUUAGUAGGAUAAAGACUUUUGAUAUUAUGUUAAUGAAAGCUUAGGUCAAAGGGACAGAUCACCAUUUGAUGGUGAUUGAGGCAAAUACAUUAUCCUUUUUUCUUUUUUCUUUUAUUUUUUGCGAGGCAAACUCAGGGUAAAAUGGGGUAUGGCAAUUAAAGCAAGCCUUUUCUUUUAUUUUAACCCCCCCCCCCCCCCCCCCCCCCCCCCCCCCGGUUUUCUUGGUCAGUUAGCCAUAUUUCAUCAUAUGCAUAUUUUAACAGAAAAGUAUGGUCGGUUCUAAGACCAACAAAAACAUUGCAAUAAGAUUUAAACAUAGCAUCAACUUCUAUCUAUUUGUAAGAGAAAAUUAUUUGUUAUUUAGAAAAUUAGAAACAAGAUAAAAAAAAAUACCUAAGCAAAUAUAAUUGCUUAUUACAACAUUUCGGUUUUGCUAUUAGAUUUGAAUUUAAUUGAUUAUUUUCAUUACUUUAAUUAACUUUAAUAAUACAUCAUUGAUCAAACGUUCGAGUCUCAUAUAAUCAACGGGUUAUUAUUAUUAUUUUAUUCAAAUCUAAUAAUAUAUCAUUAAUCAUUCAAACUAUAAUUUCAAAAAACAAAAAGAUAUUAUUUUUUUAUAUUAAAAACAAAAACUGGUUCAAAGUAAAACAUGUCUCCAAUUAAAUUCUAGUUCGGCAAAUUUAUUAUUGAAUUGCCUUGUUAAAUAGAGUUUUAUAACUAUAUUUAACACUAGUCAUCAAAUAGUUGAAUAGUGAGGGGGGAAAUUAUAAACUGAAAUCAGUUUUGACUAAUAAACAGGCAUCACAGGACAUGGAUUACGAUUCAAAUAAAAAUAAGAACAGAUUAGAAAUUAAAAGACUGGAUCAAACCUUCAUCAAAUAGCUACUAACAAGGUCGCUUGCGUUCUUAACACACAAAGUGAUUUCUUUCCUUCUUUUUUUAGUCUUUUGACCUGACCUCCAUGCUUCAACUACAUGGAAAAUAGCCACAACAACCACACCAUGGAAAAGAUAGCAGAUCAAAGUGAAAGCAAUGUACCACAGAAGCUAGCACAGACCUCAGAAUUAACCACAAGUAGAUGGCAUGCCAAUUUCGAUAUCUAGGGUUGUUGGGUUGUGAAGUUGUAAUCCUUGGCAUCCAAGCAAUCACUCGCCUUCCAAGUUUGGAGUGUUCCUUCCAUUUCACUCUUCUUAUGUCUAUGCUGAGAUCUAAUCUAAGUGAAGUCAACCUUCUUCUUCAUAUUCGAAGGAUAUAAUUUAUUGCCAUGCAUUGGAAAGAUGGGCCUAGCUUUAUUUUAUUUUAAAUUGAUCUCAUAUACUAUCAAGUCACAAAGCAAAGAUAUAACUAGAUUAUUGACUCAAUUUUUUUUAAUAAAAGAAUUUAUUCAAGCGUUAUUAACAUGUUUUCUAAUAAAAAAAAUUUAAUCAUAAACUCAAAAUAUAAUGUAUAUUGGACAAUAUUUUUUUUAAAAAAUUGAUAUGAUAAUAUAUUAGAUGGAAUUGUUUUUUAAAAAAAUAUUGAGAAUACAACAUAUUAGAUUGACUCGGGAUAACUUAUCAAAUUUAUAACUCGGGUCAUAAGACCAUGAUAACCCUAUAAAAAAAUCAAAAUAAAUUAUGAAGGUCAAUUCCUAAUCAAUCCAAUGUUAAAAGGCAAAAUUGAAAAAUAAAAUAUUAAAUUAAAAAAAAGAAAAAAAAUACCCAAGUAAACUCAGGUUAACCUACCAAACUUACAACUUGAGUCAUGAGAUGAGAUAACCCCAUAAAAAAUAAAUCAAAAAAAUUAAAAAAAUCAAUUUCCAACCAAACCUAUAUUGAAGUAUGAAAUUGAAAAAAAAAAUCAAUUAAAAAAAACAAAAACUAAGUCAACAUCAACUAACCUGUUAAACUCGCCACCUAAGUCAUAAGAUUGAAAUAAAUUCAUAAAAAGAAAAUAAAAAAAAUGUGAAGCUCCAUUUCUAACGGAUCUAAUAUUCAAGAUUGAAAUUGAGAAAAAUAAAUAAUGAGACUAUAAUAACUCCACUGAAAACAAAUUAAAAAAAAAUUAUGAAACUUAAUUCUCAAGCAAUAUAAUAUUAAAAGAUAGAAUUAAAAACAUAACUAAAUAGAUCUAAAAUUAAAUGUUGAAAUCGAGAAGAAGAAAAACUAGAUUCGUGAGAUUAAUAUAUAACCCAACAGAAAAUAAAUAAAUAGAAAAUUAUAAAACACAAUUCCUAAAACAAUUAAAUAUUAAAUGAUAAAAUUAAAAAGAAAAAAACUAAAUAAAAAAAGAACAAGAAGAUUGGAUUGUUGAAAGGUUAAAUUGAAGAAAAAAAGAUAAACAGAAAAAGCAAAAAAAAUAUGCAAAACACUAUUUUAAUUAAUAAUGUUUUGUAGAUGUGACUAUAGUAAUUAGUCAUACUUCCUAGUGUUUUGUUAAUAAAAAGAGGUGGAAUGAGGAAUUCAUAAAUGAGGGUUGAAAUAAAAUAAAUAAAUUAUCAUGAUUAAUUUCAAAAUAAGGGAUGCAUUAGGAUUUUUAGAAAAGUUAUUUAUUUUCUUAAUUUUUUUCUAUUUAGUUUAUAAAAGUAAGUAUUAUGCUUAAUAAUUUUAUUUUUUUCUUAGUUAGUUUAAAACUUUUAUUGUUUUUCCUUUAUCUUUGAGUUUUAUAGUUUUUUGAGGUUAGUUUUUGGAUUUUAUAUAAGAAGUUGUAAGUCUCUUGGAGAGGUAAACUAUUUAAAAACAAAUAUUCAGUAAUAAGAUUGCGAGUUAGGGUUUCUUUGUGAUCCCUUCUUUUGAGAAUUAUAUGUUUUUUUGUGCUUAUUGUAUUUUUUGUAUUGUUUCCUUCCGUGUCAAUUGGUAUUAGAGUCCAAUGAUCCCAAUAAUUAUUUUCUUGUUUGUGCUGGAUUAACAUGGAUGGAAGAGAUAUUAGAACAAGAUAUGCUUAUAUAUAUAUAUAUAUAUAUAUAUAUAUAUAUAUAUAAGGGGAUGAAAAAAGAAAUAUUCAAAAACCAGUGAUAGGCGAUAUAUUGAAAAAUUGGAAGGAGGUGUUUAGGAUAUGGUGAUAGAAAACAUAUAGAGACAGAUUGCAAAAUCAACUCGUUUAUUGGAGGAGGUGAGGAGCCUGAAAGAUCGUGAAGAGAGUGAUUGUUGAUCCAUGUCUAAUUUUGAGAACCAUUUUAGAGGCUUGAACAGAGAAAACAACUUAUUAAUCUGGAUGAGAAUAAUUCGUAGUUCUCUUGUGAAUUGAAAUCAAACAUCAAAUUUUAAUGAGAAUGUUAAAGGUGAUGUUGAAGGAUGUGCAUCAAAUUUGAUCGAGGAGAACUUUAGAAUUGAUGAGAUAAAAGAUGAUGUUAUUGUAUUUUGAUAAAAGUUGUGAGACAUGUUUUCAAAUCUUCUCCUAAUGCUAAAAAUGGUCCCAUUAUUAGGGAAGCUAAGCAUAUUGAUAUGAUGUUUUUAGCAAAAAGAUCAAGCACGUAAAUAUUGGAAACUCUUGAUUGAAUAUCCACAAGAUCGAGACAAAACACAAAUUAAACUCGAGGAGGAGUUUUUUUCAAUCUAGAAAGACUGAUAUAGAAUGAUUUUUUAAAAUUUUUUUUCUUGGUUUUUUUUUAAUUUUUUCAUGUUUAGUUUAUAAUAUUAAAUAUUAUGAUUAAUGAUUUUAUUUUUUGUAAUGUGUUUGUGAUUUUUAUUUCUUUUUCUUUAUUUCCAGGUUUUCUAUUUUGUUUAGAUUAUUUUUUGAGUUUAUUUAAAGAAUUGUAAAUCUUUUAGAGGGGUAGACUAUUCAAAAAAAAAAAUUCAAUAAUAAGAUUGUUAAUUAGGAUUUAUGUGUAAUCCAUUGUUUUGAAAUUUUGUGUUUUUGUAUUUAUUAUCUUUUUUUUAUAUUAUUUCUGUAUUAGUCAAUAAGUUAAAGUUAUAAACACUAAAAUAAAAAAAAUAAUUUUUGAGGGAUGCUAAAUACCAAAUUAUUUUGAAAAAUAAAGGCUGUUCGGUAUCAUUCAUGUUUUCAAAAACCAAAAUUUAAAAUUCUUUUCCCUUUGUUUUUUUUUUAAAUAAAAUUUCUAUAAUUUUGACGAAGCUUGCUGGUUUUGCAUUUUAAAAAAAAUUAAUUAAUUUUUUGUUUGAAGAUAGAACAAAAAAAAACAGUAAUAUUAAAAUAAUAGUUGAUUAUUGUUUUGAAACAGAAAAAAUAAAAAUACAAAUAAAAAAGACAUGUUAUUUUAUACCUCAUGUUUUAAUAAUGUAUAAAUUUAUUCUAAAAAUUAUUUAUUUUAUGUACUUGUUUUUAUUUCUCUAAUAAAAUAUGUUUUUAUCUUUUUAUAUUUAUUUAUUCUAUUCUAGGAUAUUAACAAGAUGAAACUCAAAUAAAAUCAAACAACAUCAAUUUAUGAGUUAAAGCUGAAAAUUCUCAAAACUUCUAGGAUUGCGCAUGGACUUCCAAAGCAAAACCUCGUUUAUCGUGGUCAUAAUUUUUUUUUUCAUGAACGCAUUUAAAAAUAAAAAUAAUUUUUUUUUAAUUACUCUCCUAAUCUCUUUCUCGUUAUUUGAGGAAGGCCUCAUUUUUUACACGAACCAUUUUAGAUUUGUUGGAGCCACAACCCAUAAAGUCUCCAUCUUUAUAAAUCUCUCUCCUCUCUCUCUCACCCCAUAACUAUCUUACUCUCUCUUCUCUUUUUGUGAGUUACAGUAAUUGAAAAUGGAGAAGAAACUAGUGCCUUGUUUGGUUUCAUUUGUUUUGAUAUUGUGCAGCGUGUCCCAUGUUAGAUCAGAUGCAUCUGAUCAUCGUUACAAAGUUGGAGAUGAUGUCCCUCUCUAUGUUAACAAGGUUGGACCUUUUCACAAUCCCAGGUAAUCCAAUUCUCGAUCUUUCUUGCUGUUUUGAUUAGGUUAAGGUUAUUGGUUUUGUGGGGUGUCUUCAAGUUUGGGACUUUUGAUGAUUUGGGAAGUUGGGGUAUGUGGGAUAUGGAUUAGAAAUGGAAUUGUGGAGUUGGGUUUUGGAGAAUUUGAUUUUAGCAUUAAUGUGUCAGAUUCUGUAGAAUCCAUUUUUUUUUGGUUUUAUGGAUUGGUUUCUUCAAUUGUUGUGGAUCUGAGCUUAUGGGAAGUGGAUCUUAUGAUUUGGUUUCCUAAAAAGGAAGAUCAAAGAUUGGAACUUGGAGUUUAACAUGAAAAUGCUGUUGAUGUCACUUAGUUGCUAAUUAAGUUGGAAAUUUAGCAUAGCUUAAUGGUUGUACAAGCAGUUGGUCUAGUGGAUCCCUGGGGAGAUAGUUUAGGAAAUGCUUAAUGGGAUUUUGGAAUGCAAGCUUUUGGAUAGAAACAUUUGCAAGUAAGUAGAGUCCGUUAGUUAAAGCCCAGAAUAAUGUCCAGUGACUAGGUGUUGAUUUCUGUUUCUGGUUGUUUCUUGUGAGCUGGAAAAGUUUAAGUAUUGGGUUUUCGUUUGUUAUUGCUGAACUUGGAUCUCAGUUUUAGAUCUUUAAUCAGUCGCUGGAACUCUUUUUCUGUAAUCGUACAUGAAAUUAUGCCGGAACUUAAUUGAUAUCUACUGUGGUCAUCUCUAGACUUUUGGUUUUCAUUUUGAGACUUCAACUGUGAAAACUUUCGUUAGUAUUUUUUUUUAUUCAUAAUUGUUUCAUAUUGUUUCUUUCUUGUUCAUUCUGUCAGUGAAACAUACCGCUACUUUGAUCUGCCUUUCUGCUCAUCAGGUCUGCAUCAAUUCACAUUACUCCUACUAUACAGCUUUGUUUUAUUGUGGAAGUUUACUGACGAUGCUUAUUACAGGUCCUACAAAGGACAAGAAAGAAGCCCUUGGUGAAGUGUUGAAUGGGGAUCGUUUAGUCACUGCCCCAUACAAACUUGACUUUUUAAAUGACAAAGAUUCUGAAGUUGCAUGCAAAAACACGCUGACAAAGGAACAAGUUGCUCAGUUCCGAGAAGCAGUUUCCAAGGACUACUACUUCCAAAUGUAUUAUGAUGACUUGCCCAUUUGGGGUUUCUUAGGGAAAGUUGAUAAGGAACGCAAGAAUGACCCUAGUGAAUACAAAUAUUACCUGUUUAAGCAUCUUCACUUUACCAUCUUUUACAAUAAGUAUCGUGUCAUUGAGAUCUCUGCACAAUCUGAUCUGAACAAUGUUGUGGACCUUACUGAAGAUAAAGAAGUCAAUGUGGAGUUCAUGUAUUCAGUUAAAUGGAAGGAAACAGAUAUAACAUUUGAGAAAAGGAUGGACAAGUAUUCACAAUCUUCUUCACUUCCUCAUCACUUGGAAAUUCAUUGGUUCUCAAUUAUUA